UGCGUAGGCGGUUUUUUAAGUCAGAUGUGAAAUACCCGGGCUUAACCUGGGGGGUGCAUUUGAAACUGGGGAACUUGAGUGCAGGAGAGGAAAGUGGAAUUCCUAGUGUAGCGGUGAAAUGCGUAGAUAUUAGGAGGAACACCAGUGGCGAAGGCGACUUUCUGGACUGUAACUGACGCUGAGGCACGAAAGCGUGGGGAGCAAACAGGAUUAGAUACCCUGGUAGUCCACGCUGUAAACGAUGGAUACUAGGUGUAGGGAGCGAUAGCUCUCUGUGCCGCAGCUAACGCAAUAAGUAUCCCGCCUGGGGAGUGCGAUCGCAAGGUUGAA
rnacentral:rRNA from 1 species